UACGUAGGGGGCAAGCGUUGUCCGGAAUCAUUGGGCGUAAAGAGCGUGUAGGCGGCUUGGUAAGUCCGCUGUGAAAGUCCAGGGCUCAACCCCUGGAAAGCCAGUGGAAACUAGUCAAGCUAGAGUCCGGAAGAGGCGAGUGGAACUCCUGGUGUAGCGGUGAAAUGCGCAGAUAUCAGGAAGAACACCAAUGGCGAAGGCAGCUCGCUGGGACGGUACUGGACGCUGAGACGCGAAAGCGGUGGGGAGCAAACAGG
rnacentral:rRNA from 1 species